rnacentral:rRNA from 1 species
CGUGUAGGCUGUUCGGUAAGUCUGCCGUGAAAACCUGAGGCUCAACCUCGGGCGUGCGGUGGAUACUGCCGGGCUAGAGGACGGUAGAGGCGAGUGGAAUUCCCGGUGUAGCGGUGAAAUGCGCAGAUAUCGGGAGGAACACCAGUAGCGAAGGCGGCUCGCUGGGCCGUUCCUGACGCUGAGACGCGAAAGCUAGGGGAGCGAACA